CAGUUGGGGCUCAGGGCCUUAGCCCAACGGACUCCUGGUUGCCAAGCAGGUUGCCAUGGAUGCAAGCCAGCAGGAAUGCUGUGGACUGAGUCCAUUGGUAAAAGAGGCUGACCGUUAUCUCCAGCUCCACAGGUAGAACGUGUGUUAAUCGGCACAUUCCAUGCUCCAGUUCCACUCUGGGGAUUGGUUAGUUAGCUGAGGACAACAUGACGGUCAAAGACGGAUUUUCGCUGCUCUUGAACUUGAAGCUUCCAGCGCUGCUGUGCAUACUCUACCUUAUUCAGCACAUUGGCUCGACUGCGGGAGCGGGCCAGCACAUCAUGGGCAUU